UGCCUGACAGAAGCAGCACAUCAAUAUUGGCAGCUGCCCUCUCUCUGGGUUGCCAGUAUGGUUUGUGCUGCUCCCGUCAGACA